rnacentral:rRNA from 1 species
UACGUAGGGGGCAAGCGUUGUCCGGAAUCAUUGGGCGUAAAGAGCGCGUAGGCGGUCCGGUAAGUCGGUUGUGAAAACUGGGGGCUCAACCCUCAGAGGCCGACCGAUACUGUCGGGCUAGAGUCCGGAAGAGGCGAGUGGAAUUCCUGGUGUAGCGGUGAAAUGCGCAGAUAUCAGGAGGAACACCAAUGGCGAAGGCAGCUCGCUGGGGACGGUACUGACGCUGAGGCGCGAAAGCGUGGGGGAGCAAACAGG